UACGUAGGGAGCAAGCGUUGUCCAGAAUCAUUGGGCGUAAAGCGCGCGUAGGUGGCCUCGUAAGUCCGCUGUGAAAGUCAAAGGCUCAACCUUUGAAAGCCGGUGGAUACUGUGGGGCUAGAGUACGGAAGAGGCGAGUGGAAUUCCCGGUGUAGUGGUGAAAUGCGUAGAUAUCGGGAGGAACACCAGUGGCGAAGGCGGCUGAUCUGGGCUGAAACUGACGCUGAGGCGCGAAGGCUAGGGGAGCAAACAGGG
rnacentral:rRNA from 1 species